UCGAGGAUCUUCCGCAAUGGGCGAAAGCCUGACGGAGCGACACCGCGUGCAGGAUGAAGGCCUUCGGGUUGUAAACUGCUGUCACGCACUAGGAAUCCCCUGCGGUGAAUAGCCGCAGGGUUGACUAAAGCGAGAGGAAGCACCGGCUAACUCUGUGCCAGCAGCCGCGGUAAGACGGAAGGUGCAAGCGUUGCUCGGAAUCACUGGGCGUAAAGGGUGCGUAGGCGGCCUCGUAAGUCUGACGUGAAAGCCCCGGGCUCAGCCCGGGAAGUGCGCUAGAAACUGUGAGGCUCGAGUGCCGGAGGGGAGAGUGGAAUUCCUGGUGUAGCGGUGAAAUGCGUAGAUAUCAGGAGGAAUACCGGUGGCGAAAGCGACUCUCUGGACGGCAACUGACGCUGAGGCACGAAAGCGUGGGGAGCAAACAGGAUUAGAUACCCCGGUAGUCCCUGAGCGGGCUGGCAAGGCGCAU
rnacentral:rRNA from 1 species